GAAAGAUGAAAAGAACUUUGAAAAGAGAGUUAAAUAGUACGUGAAAUUGUUGAAAGGGAAACGAUUGAAGCCAGUCGUACCUAUGGGUAAUCAGCCUUUUGGGUGUGAUUUUGUGGGGCUUGAGGAGUUAAACGCCUUCAUGCCUUGCAUAUUCGUGCACUUUGGGUGUACUUGCCCGUAUGGUUGGUUAACAUCAAUUUUGGUGGUCAUAAAAUGACUGGAGGAAUGUAGCUUCGAUCUCGUAUUGAAGUGUUAUA
rnacentral:rRNA from 1 species